UGAGGCCAAGGAGAAGGAAAAGGAAAGAAGAAGAAGAGGGCGAUGCUGGGAGGAGCCUGAUUGGCUGAGGCGCGUCAAGAGGCACGUGACCGGGCUUGGCGGCCACGUGACCCAGCCCACAGGAAGGAAGGAAGGAAAGACGAAGGGGAGGAAGACGCCAUGUCAGAACCCUGCUACUAGAGCCUGGGUAUGGCUCUGAGUUUCAGGGUCACUGACAAUGUGGACUGAUAAGACACCUGCAUCUCGAGAUCCUGAGAAGAAACGGCUGCUGGACUUGGCGGGGAAACUUCGCGGGGUUUUGUUGGGUGGGAAAUGCGUUUUCAAAUGAGGGGGGAGGGUAUAAAAAGGAAUGCUGGCAGACGCCUCCCAUUCUUGGCUUUUUCCAUGUCAAUGUUUCCUGCAGUAAACUUUCUGGUGACAACACA